rnacentral:tRNA from 1 species
UCCCUGGUGACUCAGAUGGUAAAGAAUCUGCUUGCAAUGCAGGAGAUCCAGGUUCAAUCCCUGGGUCAGGGAA